UAACGUUGCUUCACAGUAAAGAUGGCAA
rnacentral:piRNA from 1 species